GAUGAACGCUGGCGGCGUGCCUAAUACAUGCAAGUCGAACGCACGGACGAGAAGCUUGCUCCUCUGAUGUUAGUGGCGGACGGGUGAGUAACACGUGGAUAACCUACCUAUUAGACUGGGAUAACUACGGGAAACCGGAGCUAAUACCGGAUAAUAUUUUGAACCGCAUGGUUCCAACGUAAAAGACGCUAUUGCUGUAACAUCUAGAUGACUUCGCGCUGCUUUAGCAAGUUGGUAAGGUAACGGCCUAACAAGGCAACGAUAGCUAGCCGACCCGAGAGGGGGGACGGGCAAACCGGGAACGGGAACAGGGCCAAGACUCCUACGGGGGGAAGCAGAGGGGAAUCUUGCGCAAGGGGCGAAGGCCUGACGGAGCAACGCGGGGGGGGGGAGGAGGGUCUUGGGAUCGAAAGACUCGUUGAUUGGGGAGAAAGAGUGGGGGAGUUAAAAGUGCACAUCGUGACGGUACCUAAUCAGAAAGCGACGGCUAACUACGUG
rnacentral:rRNA from 1 species